rnacentral:lncRNA from 1 species
UCGAGGCUCAAUAGAGAAUUUCUUGCUGAAAGGUACCCAUUUGCGUGCAAAUUCAGCGGUUUCUGACAAGGCUUCGAAGGUGAGCAUGGAAGCUCCAUCAUCAGAGAUGUAGCAUGAGAUCUUGUCGACAGGGUAGUCCAUGGACAAGAUUGAAAGAACAGUGUUGGCGGUAUUAAGUGGAGGUUCUUUCAUGGGAUCCACAGUACUCACAAACACAUCUACCGAGCAGAGCAUGUUCGGUUCACCCUCCCUCUCAUAUCUGCAUCAGUAAUACCGUUGUAUUAACAUAGUAACUAGUUAGCGCUUUGAUGCUAAUGUACACAUACUUAACAAAUGUGCGAAUAUAUACCUGAGGGAAAGGCGAUCGAGGUAGGUCUUACGAUCAAUGGGGUACCACUUUGGGAACUGAUCAAGGAUCCAUGAAACUGCAAACCAUAUUUCACACAUGACAGACACUAACCAGAGACCAAAUGCGUCAUUGACCGGAUUCAAAAGCCUGUAUCGAAGAAACAAUGCUAAAAUGAAAAGCCGAGCCACAAUGAUCAUCCGAUAAGGGUUGAUCUUGCCCAACGCAAUUGGUACUUUCCUUGAGAGUGGCUGCCUAGCUCCAUCUAUCCUGCAUUAUGCAGUACGAAUACACAACAUUAUAUAUGUUAGCAAAUGAAAUUAAGGACUUAAAUAUUGGGUUGAAUUGAGUUAAUUAGCUUCAUUAAAAAGUGUUGGAGUUUUGAGACUCCUUGUCCCACAUCGGGGACAUAUGUUCCUUAAUAGGGUUUAUAUAUGUUGCGUCUUCGAUUUAAUCGUUUUUGGUUUGGGCCAUUUCAAAUGAGGAUUGAAGGCUUGGGUCUGAUGGUAUGGGACAUUUUAAUUAAUAUAUUAAAAAUGUUUUGAUUAAAAAACAUAAUUUUUGAAAAGAGUUGUGUAUUUUCAAAUACGAUCAACAUGUAUUUGAAAGGCUAUGAAACAUCCUCUAUAUAUAUAUUUGUAGUCUCAAUUUUCAACAGAGAUAUCAUUUUCCUUUCUUUCUCCCGUACAAAAGCUUCCAAAACGUAAACACACAAAGCAAUUCGUCAGAAUUCUGCAAUCGAGUCCGGAUUGACGAAUUAGAAAGUUGUAUUCUGCUCGAGUUGACGUCAUCAAACCACAAGCACAAGAGUGGGACGAAAAUAUUGUUCGAAGGACAUAGCUUUGCGCUAGCCUCUAUCUAUCAACCAAGUUAAGUAAUUUUGCUUUCUGUAAUUAUUUUGUCAUUAUUCCAUUUUGCAUUACAAAUAUAUUUCUUAUUUCUUAAUAAAGAAUCAAGGGCACUAUUUACUACCCUCAUGUUUCGUGAUUUUCAACAUUUAGUACAUCAAGUUUUUUUCGUCCCAGAGUCAUACCUAAAGUGUAAAUUUUGGGACAGUCUCAUACAUCCGUUAGUCAAACUGCUAAGUCUUCCGUUAACUGUGACGUGGCGCCCAUGUGGACAAUGACUGGACGACACGUGUCAUCCAUGUGGAAAUUAAAAAUAAAUUAUUUAUAAAAAAUAUAAAAUAUAUAUAUAUAUAUAUAUAUAUAUAUAUAUAUAUAUAUAUAUAAAAAGGUCGUACCCAGUGCACAAGGCUCCCGCUUUACGCAGGGUCUGGGAGAGAUGAAUGUCGGCUAGCCUUACCCCCAUUUAUGGAGAGGCUGCUCCCAAGUCUCGAACCCGAGACCUACCGCUCAUGGGCGAAGACACUUGCCAUCACACCAAGUGCGACCUCUUAUAUAUAUAUAUAUAUAUAUAUAUAUUAAAAAAAAAAAACCUUCAUCUUCCCCAGAUUCGGAGGAAGAAGGAAAAAAAAAUCGAAUCUGCAACCCAGAUUCAGAGAAGGAAGAAGAAAAAAAAAAAAAAAAAAACCCAGUUCGUCCCCCCCCGCCCCCCACACCACAAAAAACCCAACCCCUGCAACCCAAAAGAAGGAGGAGGAGGAAGAAGAAGAAAAAAAAAAAAAACCAAACCCCAGAAGAAGAAGAAGAAGAAGAAGGAGGAGGAAGCAGAAGAAGAAGAAGGUAAAAAAACAAAAAACAAAAAAACAAAACAAAACGUGGAUGACACGUGGUGCCCAGUCAUUGUCCACAUGGGCGCCACGUCACAAUUAACGGCAGAUUUAACAGUUUGACUAACGGAUGUAUGAGACUGUCCCAAAAUUUACACUUUAGGUAUGACUCUGGAAUGAAAAAAACUUGAUGUACUAAAUGUCCACAAAACUUCAGGGUAGUAAACAGAGUUUAACCCAGAAUCAAUUCAUUUCAAAUUCUGUUAUUAUUUUUUGAAUUGGCCUCCAACAAAAAGCAUAUGUUUAUGUAUACGUACAUGGCCAUGUCGGCAUCAUUCAAUCCGUCAGGUUGAUCACUGCCGCCAAGGUUGCCCUGCUGCAUUACCUGCACGAAAUUAAGAAUGCACAUAUGUACACGAGUUAAAGACAGUACAAAUUAAUCUUGAUGCAUGACCAUAAUAUCUCGAGAGAGCUGCUAUUCGUACUCCAAAAGAGUCAUUAUGCACUCGGUAUUACCGUGUGGGAUCUGACUCCGGCGAUUACGGGUGGGAUAUGUGACUCCCGAUCAGGAUCAUCAGGGCCUCUUCCAUAGCUCUUCGUUCCACGGAGCUGGGCUUCAGCCAGCUGCUUAUUGUUAGUCUUAUAAUAGGGCGAUCUGGCGGCGUUGUUGCCGUUAAUCUGAUCGUGAUCAUCUUCCGGAUGAUCGUGAUUAAUGUUGAAUUCGUGUUCAAUGUCAUCAAUGUCCUCUUCGUCGUCGUCUCCUUCGAUUCGGGGGCUGCCUUUGAGACGCUUGUAUCUGGUUUUGCACUGAGGGCAGUUCUGGGAGCCUUCCCUCCGCUCGUACUCGUAGCAAGGCCUGCACACUGGGAAGCCACAAUCGUUGCACGCCACGAACAAGUUUCCGUCCACCGUCAACCCCACGCCAUCGCCGCAUAUCUCGCACACCUGUACGUCCAAGUUCCUCGAUGGCUUGUGCUGCAUCCAUCAAACACAAACAAUAAACUUCAGUCCAAUUCACAAAAUAACUAAAAUCAAAGCGUAGUUGCUGAAGAAUACAAGAAUCUCACAUAAAAAGUUGAAAAAAAAUAAAUAAAUGUGACGUUAUACACGAGGGUGCACACAUGACAUGUUGUGCAGAUGGUUAAAUGCAGGUGUGAGAAAAAUAUAAUAUCGGCGUGGUUAGUAGUGGGUUAGUGACCAUUUGUACAUGUAGUCACACAUACCAAAUUACACUCUAGUAUAAGACAUGCUAAUCUUUUAUUCAAAAAGACUAGAUUAGACGAAAUUAACUCUUUAACGCUGGUAAAGGGAUAAAGUGUCAUUCUCUCUUAAUCCCGAGUGAGAGAGGACCAACACAUUCAGAAACCCCUCGACCAUCCCAUAUUUUUAUUAAACAAACCUCGCAGAGAGAGAACCAACAAAAGAGAGCCUAAACACCAUCAAAACAAACUAUAGGUGAAAUUAUUAGCUACCUCUUCAUGGCCAUGAAUGACGACGAGUUCAUUGCGGUUGUGAGACCCUGCAACAAGUCCGGCGCUGGCUUCCAUGGCGGCAGCCUGUGUCGAUUUGAUGUUCGAGAGCGAUCAAUAAUGCUGAUGAUCUAGGAUGGUGAGGUUUCUAUUUGAUGAUGAACAAUGGAAGUAGUAGCUAGCUAUAAGGAGGGUGGCAUGGGAUAUUUGGUGGUGAGGUCCCUCUCACCUCCUCUCACCUCCUCUCACCUAAUGGAUUAUGUGUGUGUCUGUGAGAGAGAGAGUCUACAUCACUACAAACAGAAAAAUCACGCCGGCGUAUAUCAGACGGAGCAUCAGCAAUGUAACUUUUUAUCCCAAAGCAGACCUCCGAGCUGAUAUUCAAGUACCCAUAAUAUUAAAAAAAACACACAAUCUUUUUCCAUCAACAAAAAGCCAAGCUUUCUAAAAACAACAAAAGCUACUCAGUAUUACUGUUUAGUGAUAUUUCUCUUAACUCAUAAGUGAGAUGUCUUAGAUUCGAUUCUCGUCAAAGACAAAUUUGAACCAUAUUAUUACUAACCAAUUGUGAGGCUAAGACCCCAUCCCCUUAGUAUAGGUAAUAAAAACAAAAAAGUAAAAUCCAAGACGCAAUUGAGACUACAAACUACGUAGCUAAACCAAAACAGUCAGAUUUUUGUUUUACGUAGCAAUUGUGUAACUUACUAUGAAAUAGAGAGUUAAGUUUUUGGGCACUAUGCCAAAAUUUUGGCAGCCCUCCAAAAAUACUUUUAUGAUUAUAAUUGUGGGAUUAAAUCAAACGGUAAGAAUUAUGUGAGAUUAAAUCCUAUGGUUAUUGUUAGUUACGAGUUUUAAUUUUUUUUUAAUUAAUGUAGAAGUGUAAAAAAUAUAAAAACACUCGUGAUGACAAGCUGUACAACUUUCAUAAAGAGGUUAACUCCGAAAUUCGCCACUAUACUCUCAUAAACCAUAGAUUCAAAUUUAACCAUUGAUUAUCGUUUAUGUUUACGCUCCAUUCUUCUCAUCAAAUUUCCUUUUUUCAAAUUUCCUUUUUUUUAAAACAUGAUCUUUUAGUGGAUGCAAAAAGAUGAACGACUCACAUCAUAGAUGUCACAUUCAGGUUUUUACAGUUAUUGAAAAUAUUGCUCGGAGUUUAUAAAAUCUUUAAAACUAUAUAACAUUGACUCGUAUUUUAGUUAACCGUAAAAAUUAGAACGUGAUAUCAAUGAUCUGAACCGUUCAUUUAUUUGCAUCCACUAAACGAUCAUGUUUUAAAAAAGGAAAUCUAAAAACCGAAAUCCAGUGAGAAGAAUAGAGCGUAAACAACAAUCAACGGUUAAAUAUAAAUCUCGAGUUUGUGGAUUAUGGUGUGUCGGAUUUCGUAUUUGACCCUUUCACAAAAAUUGUAAAGCUUGUCAAUACGAGUGAUAUAAAUAUUUUUUUUUACAUUUUUCACACUUAUGCAAUAAUUAUUAUGAAUUGUUAUUAAAUUUUCACUCAAACGAAAAAUACUAUUCAUGAGGGUUUGGAGGUGUUUUAAAAAUCUAAACGAGAAUGUAACCAUCGUCAAAGCAUAGAGGAUGCAAUCACUAGUGUUUAUAUAUUCUUUCACAUUUUUCACACUUGUACAUUAAUUAUUAUGAAUUUUUAUUUAUUUUGAACUCCCCUAAAAUACUGUUCACAAGGUUUGUAGGGUCUUAAAAAUUUAAACGAUGAUGUGCCCAUCGUAAAAGCAUAGAUGAUGCAUUCACAAGCAUUUGUAUAUAUAUUUUACACAUUCGUCACACUUGUAAAUUAAUUAUUAUAAAUUUUUAUUGUGUUGUGUAUUUUUAAAUUGCUUUGGUAUUUUUAAUAUGCUUUAGAAUUUUUUUAAUCUCAUAUAUGUGAGAUUAAGAGAAUAAAACAUUUAUGAGUACGAGAGAGAGUAAAAAACUUUAUUAGAUUAACUCUAAAAUUGCCGCCCUGCCUAACUAGUGAAGAAGAACUAAUGGAGAUGUACAAAAUGUAUGCCCUAGAAUGUUAGAGAACAAAUUAUUUUUGUAUUUAAUUUGGUUAUAGCAUUUUUAACUUCAAAAUAGAACAAAUUGUUCAAAUAAGCACGUCUAACUGCUUCGAAUUUUCGAUGCUUAUGUUUCAUACACCCUUUUCUAAUUGUUAUUCUGAGAAAUUUUUUCUUUCUUCUGUGCUAAACCCUAAAUAAGGAGAACAAUUUGUGGUGCACUCGUUGCAUCCAACAGCUCUCUCACAUUUGCAACAUCAUGUGAGCAGCACAUAACCAUAUACGUAAAAUAUAUGUUGCAUGCAAGAUUUUCUCGUAAAUCAAACGUAAGGUAGAUGUGAGUGGGGGUGGCACAACAUAAGAACAGAACAGUAAUUUGAGAAUCCAUUGAGCUCCUUGUGAGUUAGUUCCAAAUGCAUUACAAACAACACUUUUCCAAUUUAGGCGGGCGCCUAGGCGGCUUAGGUGGAUUUAUAUAAAUUUAUUAUAUAUCUUGUAAAUAAGUGUCUAUUUACACUUGAAGAAAAAAAAAACUAUUGUAUGAAUAAUAAAAGAAUGAUAAAAUGCAAAAAUAGAAGUAGAAGAAUACACAAAGUAUAUACAUCCAAAAAGUUCAAUAUUUAAAAAACAGUAAGCAUAUAAAUAAGGAGGAUUCUUGGAUGAUAAAUUAAAUUCUUCUUGUUCAUGAUACUUGCAUUGGAUGGACAUAGACUAAAUUAUUUAACCUUGUUGUAUCUAGUUUAUUUUUUUUCUUUGUAUGUAUCCCCUCAAAAAUGCUCCAAUUCAUUUCACUAUUGGAUGAACUUGUAGUAAAUUCAUCAUUUGCAAAUUAGGUACACCAUUUCCAUAAGUAUAACAUCAUGAAACCAAAAAAGAAAAAAGCAUACAAUUAAUAAAAUAUAAAAAAGGGCCUAGGACCACCUAGGUGCCAUCUAGCCCUCCGCCUAGGACAGCUUAGGCGGCCGCCUAGCUCCAGACCGAUUUUUCAAAACGAUUUGCCCUAAAUCACGGCGGGCCUUCACUGCCUAGCGCCUAGGCAGCCACCUAGGUCGAUUUUUAGAAUACUGCUUACAAAACUUGGUACAUUGAUUGCAUUUCAAAGCUACACACAAAAUUCUUACUCUACCUUUAUUCAAUCUUAUUUAUCUUCUGCAGAUGCACAUUUCAAAAAAGGACGCAAGUAUUUUCAGCAAUUGAUUCCGCAUUGUUUCGUGUCAGGUCCCUUGGUUUUCAACACAAAUGGAUCAAUUCGGACCCAGAGUAACGAGAAGAUGGAGGCCAGGAGAAUUGACCAAAUGACGACAAUGGUUGGCGUCCGGUUCUGUCUCCCCAUAAGACCUUUAAGGAAGGGAUAGAGAUGGACAAUCACCCAAAAAGCAAAGAAGAGCUUCCCAAACAGAGGCCCCCAUGAUUGGUACCCAUUGUUUAUGGCGUCCGAAACCCCAGCAACGACUCCAACAAGGUUGAUGACUAAGAUUGUGGUUGGAGGGAUGAGGAGGGUUGUCCAUUUAAACGCGUAUAAUUCUCCGAAAUCCUCAUCAUCUGAUGACUUGGCCGUGACUGUGAAGUUGGUGUCAAUGCCUGCUAAAACCUUGAGAAGACCUUGCACAACGGCGAAGAGGUGAGCUGAGACACCACCAAUCACCCAGAACUGCUCGUUUCUCCACCAUUCUUCGAUGCUCACUCCACUCCAUCUCAGCUCAAGAAUGCCAGUACCAAAGAUUGAGAGAAACAGCGCGAUGAAGAAGAGACUUGCAAAGGUGCUUAUCUAGAAUUUGAAAAAGAACAAAAGAACACAACUUUGUCACAUGGGAAAUCUGUGCUGAACAAGCAUGAGGUUCAACUUCUAUGCUUUGCAGAUGAUCAAUACAAUCAUUUUUUGUUAUUUAUUGUCUUCUAUGAUUCAAUGUGAUGCAAAAGAUAGCUAGAAAUUGUUACCUGUGGCAUGAUGAAUUUGUCAGUGAGCAAGCAGACAGCGGGGAGGAUACAAUAGGCAAGAAGAGGAAGGGAGGUGAAAGGGUAGACAGUAGUGUUGACAUAAGCAAAUCGCUCGAGCCACUUGAGCUUCCCUCCCUUGUAGCCAUACCAGAGUGGACUGUGGCGACUGAAAAAGAUCUCAAUGGAACCAAGUGCCCAACGAAGAACCUGGUUGAGCCGAUCAGACAAGUUGAUGGGAGCUGUACCCUUGAAUGCAGGUCUAUCUGGCAUACAGUAAAUUGACCUCCAACCACGGCAAUGCAUCUUGAAACCCGUUAGGAUGUCCUCUGUGAUAGAUCCGUAAAUCCAACCUAGCUGCAUAUAUCCAAAAGUAGCAACAUAUUCCACAAUGAAUCAAGAAAAUCUGCACUAACUUGACAUAAGGUACCCCGAAUUUAACAGCGCAUAAUAAAAAAAAUUGCUGAAAAUUUUACCUCUAAACCCCAUUCGGUUUUGUCUUCAUAACCGCAACUGAUCACAUGAAUGGCUUCUUUAAGCAUCUGCUGGGCUCGAGGAAGGAGGGACACCGCCUUGUUCCAUCAUUGUUGAAGUCACGAAAAUUGCAGACUGUCCGAAUUUCUUUUCAAAAUUCAUUUGGGACAUCAGUAGCUCUUUGUCAUCAUGCGUUCCUACUCAAUAUUAUGUAACUUUAAGUUUUACUUAAGCCAGGAAAAAAUAAAAAGAAUCAUCGAAAAUGACUAAUUUUGACAAAUCACCUUGUAGGUUUGCAGCAUUUUCAUUUGCAUCAUGCUUGGAGUACUUUGGAAGCUUCUUGCGGCGUCCAAAACACGGGCAACAGUCACAGCUUACCAUCUUCGGGCGCUUAGGACCCUUCGGAGGAUCGUAGCCAUAUAAAGCUUGCCUUCUGAACACACAUCCUGUGCCCACAUACACUGGACCUUGGAUUCCAUCCAGACCUUUCAUGUUAAUCUGAAAAUUAAAGAAAAUUCAAUUUGUUUUAGCAACACAUUCAUAUGUCAGAAAACAACUCAUCUUGGUGCUUCCUGUGGUGAUUACUUACAUCAAAGAAGACUGUAUUUCUGUUCGCGUAACGAUCAUUUCUGUCAAUGCCGUCAAAUCUUUGAGGGAACUGGACAUAGCAAACCUUCCUUCCAAUUUGAGGGUCCAUCAAGAAACACAUGGCCUCUCUUGCAGCCUUGCUGUUGUUUACAUAAUGAUCACAAUCCAAGUUGAGCAUGAAAGGAGCAUUUGUGAGUACUCCCGAGACACGAACCUGAUCAUAUACAUACGAUUAGAAGGUUUUACUUGGUAUUCAAGCAAACAGAAGAAACGGAAUGCUUGAAUUGAAAGUUUUUGUUUAGUUACCAGGGCAUUCAUGGCACCGGCCUUCUUAUGAUGUUGAAAACCCGGCCUCUUCUCACGAGACACGUAGACAAGACGAGGAAGCUCAUUCCCUUCGGUAUCAAGGCCUCCGCUGUGACCAAGAAAGACUUGAAUCAUGCCAGGGUGAUCCUUAGUGUUGUUUCCCGGCCACGGUGUCCCAUCUUGCAUAAUCCACCCUUCUGGCGGAACCUUCGUGGCUUUCGCAACAAGUGCGUUUAUCCUAACCUUGAAUUCCUCAUACUCUCGCUGCAUUUUGUCAUACAUAAAAUAAUUACGAUUAGUCAGCCCCCGUCCUAAUCAAGCAGGUUCUAGUAGUGACAUGAACGCAGUUAUAUGUGCACGCAUACCUUCAUAGCUCGACGCUCCUUAACAAAUGUUGGCUGGACCUUGUCCUUGAGAUAAUCAAUCUUCUCACAGAAGUAGAACUCAGGGGCUCGAGGCUCAAUGGAGAAUUUCUUGCAGAAGGGUACCCAUUUGCGCGCAAAUUCAGCGGUUUCUGACAAGGCUUCGAAGGUGAGCAUGGAAGCUCCAUCAUCAGAGAUGUAGCAUGAGAUCUUGUCAACAGGGUAGUCCAUGGACAAGAUUGAAAGAACUGUGUUGGCGGUAUUAAGUGGAGGUUCCUUCAUGGGAUCCACAGUACUCACAAACACAUCUACCGGGC